rnacentral:rRNA from 1 species
AUUGAACGCUGGCGGCAUGCCUUACACAUGCAAGUCGAACGGCAGCAUGAUCUCGCUUGCUAGAUUGAUGGCGAGUGGCGAACGGGUGAGUAAUACAUCGGAACGUGCCCUGUAGUGGGGGAUAACUAGUCGAAAGAUUAGCUAAUACCGCAUACGACCUGAGGGUGAAAGUGGGGGACCGCAAGGCCUCAUGCUAUAGGAGCGGCCGAUGUCUGAUUAGCUAGUUGGUGAGGUAAAGGCUCACCAAGGCGACGAUCAGUAGCUGGUCUGAGAGGACGAUCAGCCACACUGGGACUGAGACACGGCCCAGACUCCUACGGGAGGCAGCAGUGGGGAAUUUUGGACAAUGGGCGAAAGCCUGAUCCAGCAAUGCCGCGUGUGUGAAGAAGGCCUUCGGGUUGUAAAGCACUUUUGUCCGGAAAGAAAUGGCUCUGGUUAAUACCUGGGGUCGAUGACGGUACCGGAAGAAUAAGGACCGGCUAACUACGUG